rfam:Triticum aestivum genome assembly, contig: Triticum_aestivum_CS42_TGACv1_scaffold_602838_7DL
GGAGUACUCCCUUCGUUCCAAAUUAGUUGAUUCAGAUUUGACUAGAUACGGAUAUAUCUAGACAUGUUUUAGUGUUAGAUACAUCCGUAUCUAGAUAAAUCCAAGUCAACUAACUUGGAACAGAGGUAGUAUGUA